GGCAAGUCGCGACAACGGACGCCGCUCCGCUCUCCGUGGCAGACUCCACGUGGCACACCCCGGUGAUAGCCCUGGGUCCACUCCACUACUUUCCACAACAAACUCCUUCUGACUCUGGGCGGUCCACUGCCAGACGGUUACAGACAUCGCUAUCAGUUUGUUGCCCCCUCCACCUAUAAAAGGGGGACCCCAUAUACGUUAUUCUCUAAGCUCUUAUUUUUACCUAGAAACUCUACUAAAAUCUCCGUUCGAG
rnacentral:lncRNA from 1 species